CAUGGCUGUCGUCAGCUCGUGUUGUGAAAUGUUGGGUUAAGUCCCGCAACGAGCGCAACCCUUAUCCUUUGUUGCCAGCGGUCCGGCCGGGAACUCAAAGGAGACUGCCAGUGAUAAACUGGAGGAAGGUGGGGAUGACGUCAAGUCAUCAUGGCCCUUACGACCAGGGCUACACACGUGCUACAAUGGCGCAUACAAAGAGAAGCGACCUCGCGAGAGCAAGCGGACCUCAUAAAGUGCGUCGUAGUCCGGAUUGGAGUCUGCAACUCGACUCCAUGAAGUCGGAAUCGCUAGUAAUCGUGGAUCAGAAUGCCACGGUGAAUACGUUCCCGGGCCUUGUACACACCGCCCGUCACACCAUGGGAGUGGGUUGCAAAAGAAGUAGGUAGCUUAACCUUCGGGAGGGCGCUUACCACUUUGUGAUUCAUGACUGGGGUGAAGUCGUAACAAGGUAACCGUAGGGGAACCUGCGGUUGGAUCACCUC
rnacentral:rRNA from 1 species